rnacentral:tRNA from 1 species
CAAGGAAUAGUUACAUUAGAAGAAUAUUAGCUUUGGGAGCUAAAGGUUUGGGUUAAAAUCCCUUUUCUUUGA